ACUUAUCCAACAAGUCUAGAGUCUCAAUCAGAGUUUAUAAUCAAUUAUGAAUUAGUUACGAAUGAAAUAGAGUCUAAUAAGAGAUUUCUCAAAACUCAAAUCCUUAUCGUGAUUCUCGCUACUUCUAUCCACUAUACAGUGCAGUACAAGACUUGAGUAGCAUGCAAAAUUUUAUCUAAAUACUUAAACUUAAUGGACAUUCAAUAACUCUAAGAAAACUCAACAAAAUCACUGCAAAACUUACCAAAUACUUAAGAAAGUAACCUUAACUUCAAAGGACGAUCCUCUAACAACCUUCAACCAUCAAAUCCUAGCAUCCAAAAAUGAUGGGUUGUUCAAUAAUAGUGCUGAAACUCAAUGGGUAUUCAAAUUAAAAAAGUUUAGAUUCUUAAUUAAUCUAUGCCAAAAUGCCAAUUUCGAGCUUCCAACUGACUAAACAACAACUCUUUCGAAAAUUCAAAUCUAACAUUAAAUUUAAUGAGUAUUGUUAAUCUCAAGUCUAAACUUAAUGGGUAUUUGAAACUCUUCCAGAAAUCUAACUAAAAUGUACAAAUCUUACCCCGAACUCCAAGAUCCAACAAUCGACAACAAGAUCGAGGGAGGGGAAACAAUCCAUUUGAGAUUUAUUCAAAACCCACACACUAGUGGCAUGAGCUUUACUGGAGAAAUUGAGGGACGACAUAGCUCAAACAAAACCAAACAAAGACGACAUUGCAUUUCCAAAUUUGGCGUGGAUGACAUGUGGUGUGGUGGCUGAUCAUCGUUCACUGAAUCAAACGACACGACUAUGGUGCUAGAUGGUGGCAUUUGGGAGUAUCAACAGUAGGGGUUCUUUGUUGGCGUUGGCACGAAGGAGAGAAAAAGAGGUGUAAACAUGUCAUCGUCGAUAAGGUCUCGUUGUCGGUAUGCAUGGAAGGUGGAAGUUGCUAGCGGCGAUGGGGCAAACGGACGAAAGAGUGAGAUGGGAGUGUGUCGACGUGCGAGAAAGAGUGAGAGAUGAUCAGUGGAAAAGAAUUCGAGAAGAGGGAGGCUGUUGGC
rnacentral:lncRNA from 1 species